GAUGAACGCUAGCGGCAGGCUUAAUACAUGCAAGUCGAGGGGUAACAUGGGGUAGCAAUACUCUGAUGACGACCGGCAAACGGGUGCGGAACACGUACGCAACUUUCCCAAAACUGGUGAAUAGCCCUCCGAAAGGAGGAUUAAUACACCGUAACAUAACGAAAUGGCAUCAUUUUGUUAUUAUAGCAGCAAUGCGGUUUUGGAUAGGCGUGCGCCUGAUUAGGUAGUUGGCGGGGUAACGGCCCACCAAGCCUACGAUCAGUAACUGGUGUGAGAGCACGACCAGUCACACGGGCACUGAGACACGGGCCCGACUCCUACGGGAGGCAGCAGUGGGGAAUCUUGGACAAUGGGCGCAAGCCCUUGAUCCAGCCAUGCCGCGUGAGUGACGAAGGCCUUAGGGUUGUAAAGACUCUUUUGGUCGGGGACGGAUAAUGACGGUACCCGCCAGAAUAAGCCCCGGCUAACUUCGUGCCAGCAGCCGCGGUAAGUGACGU
rnacentral:rRNA from 1 species